CGAGGGGCGGGAUCCCAAAGUUCAAUAAGGAAUCCUGGGGCCAGACUUUGAGAAAUCCUCAAACGGUGUGUGUGCGCGCGCGCGCGCGGGUGGGGAGAAGGCAGCCCCCCUUCGGAACCCUGAAUGACUGAUCCGAGGGACGGGUCAAGUGGCGCCCGAACAGGGGAGUACGGUCAGCUGUCGGAUGGCGGAAAGACAGCCCGGGACAAAGAGGAUCCUGCAGACGGCCAGACUCGAGCCCUCUCCAGGUGGAGGCAGCCCCGCCUUCGGAACCCUGAAUGACUGACCCGUGGGACGAGUCAAUGAGCCAUCUCUCCAGGCCCCACAUAUCUUAAAUACUGUUACAAAUGAUCUUGAGCUCCUGAUCCUCUCAUUGCUACUCUCAAGUGCUGAGAUUUCAGGUGUGCUGCCUUAGUUUGGUGGAUUCCGUCUGCACGUGAUCUAUCCUGUCCCCGAACCUGCCUGCGCUCCUCAGGACGUCAGUUGUUAGAAUCAUAUAUGUCGUCGUGGAAGGGUUUCUCUGUGGCUUUGGAGGCUGUCCUGGAACAAGCUCUUGUAGACCAGGCUGGACUUG